AUCUGUUACCUUUAAAAAGAUAUACACACAAUACUAUACUUUUCAGAAUCAUCUCGUUGUAACUUUUGAACAGACGGUCGGACAUAUUUUAGCUUAAUGUAUAAAAUGUAGAGCUCGUCGAGAGGAACAGAUUAUACGCUGUAUGUAUGCAGCAAAGUCUUAUCGUUUUCCUAAUAUGUAAGCUUGAAAUUGCAGCGUAAUUUUUUUUUUGCACUCAGUGACCUUUGACCUUGACUGCAUAUUAAAGGUCACAUGAAUUAAAGAUUAUUGGUGAAGGUCCCAAGUCUCUACGACUUCUGGUUCUCGAAAUACAAUUAUUCUAAAAUUAUGUUCAAUUUUUCAAGGGGAAUAACUCCUUAUAAGGGUUAAUAACACAUGAUUGAACAUGUUCAUUAACAUUGCCAUCUGUUCC
rnacentral:lncRNA from 1 species